GACGAACGCUGGCGGCGUGCCUAAUACAUGCAAGUCGAACGCAGUGGGGACGGGUGAGUAACACGUGGGUAACCUCCCAUCAGAGGAGAUAACACUUGGAAACAGGUGCUAAACCGAUACUGAUGGAUGGACCCGCGGUGCAUUAGCUAGUGGGUGAGGUAACGGCUCACCAAGGCCACGAUGGAUAGCCGACCUGAGAGGGUGAUCGGCCACACUGGGACUGAGACACGGCCCAGACUCCUACGGGAGGCAGCAGUGGGGAAUAUUCGGCAAUGGACGAAAGUCUGACGGAGCAACGCCGCGUGAGUGAAGAAGGUUUUAGGAUCGUAAAACUCUGUUGGUAGAGAAGCGGUAUCUAAAGAGAAAGCCACGGCUAACUACGUGCCAGCAGCCGCGGUAAUUC
rnacentral:rRNA from 1 species